rnacentral:lncRNA from 1 species
GCCCCAUAUAAGAUCAAGAGGCCCUCUAAUCAUAGGACAUGCCCAACUUGAUCAAAUCAAGGUGGCGCCCAAGAAUAAUUAUCAAGAAAAUUAAUAAGGGACUUGCACCUUUAAAUCAUAAGAUCCAAAACCUUAGACAUCCAACAAUUGCAGUCUUAUGAAUUUAAUUCAUAUAGGUUAUUAGCAGGUAAUUAAGUUUGAAUUAUUUUAUCAAAUAAAAAAUCCAAACGGAAAGAGGAAUUAGAUCUAACAUUAUGCUAGCAAGGUUUCCUUGAACCCAAUCAGAUUUCUCCAAAUCCAAUUGACAUUUCAUAAACUCAAUUGCUAAUUCCAGGCCUAAUCCCUUUGUUGUGUGACCCCAUAAGUUCAAUUCUAUUUGGUAGUGAGAUAUACAAUGAUCUCUAUCAAAAUAUCAUUGAAACUCUUUUCAGUGGGUCGGAAUAAUUUCACUCUAACUCAUCAAGGAUUGUCGAUCCAGAACAAUUCUAAUGAGCUCUCACAAUCUACCAGUGACACCUAGCAGUAUGUAGUGGCAACCCAAUAGAACUGAAAUGAACCUCUAGGUGUAGUUAACAUGUGAUUCAGUCCCUCUAUCGUGAGUCCCAAUUUAAUGGCAGGUAAUGGAUAAAUCGUCAAAUCUUGACAUCAGUCAUAUGAUAGAUUCGAUUAGCUCAAGUCUAGUUGCGACUUCUGUGAAAAUUUUUUUCUAUCAAUUACACUACUAUGGCCAUGGAUUCUCGGACUUAGCUUCUCAAGUCUCAUAGGACUACUCCUUUCUAUUAAGGUUGAUAGAUCCCAUCUUGAUGUGCACCCUACCCCUAUAGUGGAUCAACUGUCGCCAACAUCUACUACAAGGGCUCAUUAAGACCCAUGUUUAUGUGUUAGUCAAACUCUAGCAGUAUCACUGCGGGCAAUAGUACAAUCUCAGGUCAAAAGUUCAUUCACACAACUACAGCAUCGAGAUGAUCCCGACGAUCGAGUAGAAAUCCAAGUGAUAUCUCGUAUGGUCACGCUCAGUAUUAAUUGUUCUCUAACAACUAUCCGUACUCAUUGUUUAGUGUCUCUACACUGUAGAGUAAAGACCCAUCUAUCCCAAAGAAAACGAUCUGUGCACCAGUCUAUCCGGAUUGGUCAUCGUCCUCAUGAUGAUCUUAUGAUCGGAAGUACUUAGGAAUUAAAUACAUAUCUUUAAUUCUUAAUACUUUGAGAAUAUGUAUCAAAACAAAUUUCAUAGACGAUUCAAGGACACAUUGUUAAAAAAUCGGAAAGGCAGCAUGUGAAGAUUUUAAAAUUUUGAAAAUAGGUAGCGAAAAACAAAACGGGUUAAACUCUUUAACCCCACAUGUUAGAUACCAGAUCUAAACCUACCCAAGCUCAGGAAAAGCACAUAUUAUCAAUCUGAAAUUUAGAAAAAUUUAUGAGAUCAGAUCUCAUUACCUUUGCGCGGAUAGAAAUUCAUCGCUAUUGAUGAUCUCGGAUUUGUAGAAGGUUGAGCCGCAUACGUGUCUGGCCUUUACGGGUAUCCAUCGGGAUCGAUCUUGAACUUUUUCUUCUCGUAUUAGAUUUUUCUUUUCAAAAAGAAUCUUGGCCUUGAAGACUUUGAUCAACUCUUUUGAUCUUAAUUUCGAGAUCAACUUCUUGAUCUGCAGCCUUCUUCUUCUCCUCCUCGAACCUUGAUCUCUAAGUCACCAGAACUUCAUUUAGGCGUAUGGAAGAGAGAGCACCCAACUUUUGGGCGUGGAAAGGAAGAAAAUGAUGAGAGGAGGCGUGGAGAUAGAGAGAGAGUUUUGUUGAUCAAAAAUUCAUUCUGUAAAAUCUUGGAGACCACCCUUUAUAUAUAGACAUUGUCCUGAUACAUAUUAGGAACCCAAUCAACUUAAAAAAGUAGAUUCUUAUCUCAUAAGAAUCCUCUACCUUUUAAAUCUGAUUUAUGCCAAAUAAAAUCAGAUAUAAAUGGUAAUUAAUCAGCUCUUUUAAGUAUGUACAACAAGCAUCCAUGGAAUACAUGUCAGAUGGUUGGGGCGCCAAUUCUUGGCACCCCACAAAGGGAUCUCUAGCCAAAAGAGAUUAGGCAUGGACCCCACUUUCUCUCCUCCAUGCCAUGACACAUAAGAGAGGGUGGGCCCCUUUAUGAUAUGGUACCCAAUAAUUUUCAAAAAGAAAAAGAUGCACCAUAAUUUUUCCAUCUAUUCCACAUGCAUACUUAGAGAUAAUUAGGAGAUGAAGAAGUGAUAAUGUUAGGAUAAUUAUGUCAACUAAUUGACUUAAUCAAAUCUUCUUGGGCUCACAAUUAAGAGCCUAAUUAAAUCCAAAUGAAUUUAGGUUAGGUUCAAAGCUAUGGACUUGAUCAAAUCAAAGUCUCGAGA